rnacentral:lncRNA from 1 species
UUGCACUUAAAUCUUUUUACUGAGUCAAGCAUUAAAAGGUUGUGUUUGGUUAAAAAAGAAAAAGAAAAACUGAAUAAAGGAUUUAGAGUAAUAAGAGUUUGCCACAUAAAGUUUAUGAAGGUGAAGGCUAAUAAUAGGAGGGAAGUUAAAACUUCACAACCUAUUUGAAAUUAUAAAACAUGAUUAGCUAACAAUUCGUUAAAGGUUGUAUUCAUCUUGAGCUUCUCCAAUUACACUAUAAAAUGGCUCGAGAAGAAUGAGGUUUCUCCAUUGUUAAUUGCUUACGAGUUUUACCAAACAAAGCAGAAGAGAGGGACAAGGCAAAGAUGGGCCUAAAAAUGAAUAUCACAGCAACCUCUCUUCUGCUAUUGCUAGCAUCUUCUACAGAAGUGUUCGGUGAUACCAUUUUUUACGUUACCAAAUAUGAGGCCAAGGCUGAUGGAAACACUGAUAUUACCCAGGUGAGGGCAAUGCAAUUAUAAUAUUUGUAAGAUGUUAAAAUUGAAUUUUUGCUUAAUGGGUUCUCUGUGGAAUGUUUUCUUAGGCCUUACUUAAUGCUUGGCGAGAUGCUUGUGCGUCGCCUGUGGUGAGUACAGUUAUGAUUCCAGAUGGGACAUAUGCCCUAGGGCAAAUAACCAUUGGAGGCCCUUACAAGGCUCCUAUCAAUUUCAAUGUCCAAGGCACUGUGAAGUCCUCGAUGGAUACCAGCAGGUUCAAGGCUGAAGCUGGUUGGAUUGCUUUCCAACAAAUCGACCAGUUCAUAUUGUCUUAUGGUGGAGUUUUUUAUGGCCAAGCAAAACCUGUAUAGGGUAGAAAAUGCCCCAUUUCUGCAUAUUGCAACCAACUUCCCAUCGUAAGUUCAUGUGUAUAUAUAUAUAUAUAUAUAUAUAUAUAUAUAUAUAUAUAUAUGCUUACGUAAUUCUUUCAUUUUGUGUUCGUAAUGAGGACACUAGCUAACAGUAUAAGCUUUGGUGUCUUUUUUUUUUUUUUUUUGUUAAUUCAAAUAUCUAUAACAGAAUCUGAGAUUCAACUUCAUCACCAAUAGCAUGGUCAAGGACAUAACUUCAAGAGAUAGCAAACAGUUUCAAAUGAAUCUUUUGGGGUGCAAGAAUUUGACUUUCUACAACGUUGGAAUUAGUGCACCAGAAGUGAGCAUUAAUACAGAUGGAAUUCACAUUGGACGGUCCUCAGGGUUCAAUAUAACCAAUUCAACUGUAGAGACCGGAGAUGAUUGUGUCUCAAUUGGUGAUGGCAGUGAGCAAAUUAAUAUCCAAAGCGUAACCUGCGGACCCGGCUAUGGCAUCAGUGUGGGAAGUCUAGGAAAGUGCCCCAAUGAAGAACCUGUGGUUGGCAUUAGUGUCAAGAACUGUACCUUCACCCCCAGAAUGGCAUGAGAGUGAAGACAUGGCCUACGUCCCAUCAAGGCACUGCUUCUAAAAUGCAUUUUGAAGAUAUUGUCUGAAUGAUGUUGCCAAUCCCAAAAUCAAAGAUCAAGAGUACUGCCCCCAUAACCAAUGCAACUUGAAGGUACAUUUAAAGGAAACGAAAAAUUCCAUUUUUAUUGUUUACUUUCCCUCUUUUUCCCUUCAUUUUCAUUGGUCUGGAACUUAACUUUCCGUUGUUUUCAGAGUCCAUCACGCAUUAAGCUCAGUAAGCUUCAGAAACAUCCGGGGCACUACCUCAACUCAGGUUGUUGUCAAGCUUGUUUGUGAUCAGGGAGUCCCAUGCCAAGACGUGGAGCUUGGUGACAUCAACUUGAAAUACAACGAAAAUGAAGGCCCAGCCAUGUCAUAAUGCAAGAACAUUAAACCAAAUCUACUGGGCAAGCAACUGCCAAGGACUUGUGCCUAAGAUGCUUAAUCUUCUUUCGAAGUCUGAAAAAUUGUACUGCUUCUAUUAUAUAGCUACCUCUUCAUGCUUACGCGUCUGCUAGUUUAUUGGUGAAUAAACUACAAUGAACACACAAAAAUACAACACUCGUCUAUUUUGGAAGGUAUGUGCAGUUUGAUCCCAUGAGAAAAAACAAAUGUCUAUUCAGUCGUUUUUUACAUAAGCAUCCAAGUUUAGAUGAGGAUUGAGCUGCCGUAGUACAAAUUGUAGCUCCAAAGAAUAAUCUUAAUGUUAAUGCAGUUUGGAUUACCAAAUGUAGUCAAGUGAAUUAAAAUUCCUUUAGGGUGUAUUAUUUGAAAUUUAAUCUUUGGAUUACUAGAACCAAGAAAAAACUAUAGAUUGGUAUUUGGUGUGUUGGAAAUGCUUGAUGGUCAGUGAUCGAACUAAUGACUUCGAGAAAAGCUAAGAAUGAUAAACACAAUAGUAAUAAAUGGCAAGAACCGACAAAAAUAUUGAAGUUGUAAUUCUCUCAAGGUGUGUAGUUUGGGAUUUGAAUUAUAUGUAAAGAAGAAAUGCUCUUGGAAACUGCAGCACGAUGAAUCUUGAAUGGUUUUCCAUCAUAUGGCUUUGUUGUUUGGAGAUGACUAAGUAAUAUUAGUUUUACCAAUCCUCCGGCCUUAAGCUAGCAUGUGAAAGUUGUAGCAUUAGCGGAGAGUUGAUAACAGUUUCUCGGUAGUUGGAAGCUUGAACCCUGACAUAUUAGUGCAAGGACAUGAAGAUAUUAAAUCAUUCAUACAAUUUAUUGUCUGAGAGGAUAGAAAAAAUAUAUAAAACCACUUAAGAUCUUAAAAACAUCCUAUAUUUCUCCAUUUUUUGUAUUUACACUCUGAUCCAUGGACUUUCACCCCACAAAAUGUCUCACAUUCUUUUUCAAAUUUCUACCUACAUUUAAACUUCUCAUGUCUAUUUUCAUCUCAUAACUUUUUUCUCCUCAUGACCUAAUUAAAAUAUAUAUAGAGAUAAUCCUACCAACUUUUAUUUUAUACGCAAACCUAUUUAUAUAAGGAAUUAAUUGUAAAAUAUCCUAUAUAAGCUACCUUAGCAUAGUUGAAUUAGGUUAUAAAUUUUAUUUUGAUACAAUAAAUAACAAAAAUCCAUUUAUAAAAAUAUAUAAAAAUCCAAUAAUUGUAUAGGAGAAACCACACUUAUUUUAAAUAAAUAAUAAAGUACAUGCUCCAAGUAUUAAAAGGUUAUCUUUGGUGUGUAUGAUUUGGAGAGUCCCAGAUAAUGUGCAAGUAGAUGAGACCUUGAGUGAGAUGUUUUCUCUUUCAAAUCAAUUUCAAAGUUGCGAAAUCCAAAAUUUCAAGCUCUUUUUAGAAGUGUUUUAGAAAAUAGUUCAAAAAAAACACUUCUUGAAAAUAGCUUUUGAAAAUUAUUCUCUAAUAUUUUAUACCACAUAUGUUUGUUUGAGAACCUACAAUAUUCUUAACUUAUUUUGUAUAUUUUUAAAUACAUUUUAAAAAUAAUUUUCAUAUGCAUUGCUUUAUUUUUAGUCGUUCUCCAUAUUUGUAUAAUUAUUUUUAAAACAACCCUAGAAAAAAGUAAAAUGAAAUGAAAAUAACUAAAAGAUGUUCUUUUGAAACAUUGUAUUUUCUAUUUAAAAUCUUUUUUUUUCUAGUUGUUAAACAUACUUUCUUGUUUUUUUUUUUUUUAUAUAUUCUAGAUAAUUAAAAACUAUUUUCAAAGCAAGACCUGAAUUUUUACUAUGAAAAAUCGAAACGGUGCUCAAACUUAGACUUCAAAUUGAUUUUAACCAAAAUAUGUUUUUUCUCUUUUUUUUCCUAUCAAAUCAAAACUCCAAUUUCUAUCGUUGGACUAAGAACUUUAAAUCAUUUUCUAUUGGCAAUAGAGUCUUUGAUUUAAGGACACAAAAUACACAUGAAAAAUCUCAUAGCUAUGUCUGUGCGUGUACAUAACUCUGUGUGUGUGUGUGAUAUAUAUAAAAAAUGAUGGAUGAGGAAAUUGUGGAUAUGGCCAAAUCUGAAUCACUUGUAUUUAACAAUAGCAUGUGAUUUACAUGGAAACCUGUUGGUGGAAAGAGCCUAUAAAUAAAGGCCUUCUCUCCUCAUUCUAUUUAUCCUAGAAUUGAAAGAAAAAGAGUGGUCUAACUUUGAGUGAAAAAGUGAGGUUCUCUUGAGAAUUAAAGAAUUAUUAUUCUCUCGGGUGUAAUAGGGAUUUGGAUUGUGAGAAGUGAGUGCUUAUAAACACUUGUAGGGAGAAAAAUAACUACGUAAAUUUCGUGUUUUGUUUUGUCUACUCUAUUUUAUUAUCAUUUCCAUGUUUUUUUUUUAUUAACGACAUGUCCUAUGGUGUUCUAGGAGCUUAGUGGUACUAUAAGGAGGUUUUGUCUAAGGAGGUUGGAAUUUAAGAGGAACAAUUGUGACCCCUCCAAUUUUUCUUAGGAACUUUUAUUUAUGUCUAAGGAGACUAGGUCUUAAAUGGGAUCAUUGUGAUCCUUCCAAUCUUUCUUGGGAACUUUCUUACUAGUUUAAAGCUCUAGGUAGAAGUUUUUCUAUAAUUUUUAAUAGGUAUAAAGGUACUGUAAAAAGUACACUUUUUGUUGAAUUCCUAAGGAACCAGAUUUGAGUGGGAGUGAUGGCAACAGAUGAAGAAAGAACAUCAUAAUUGAGAAGUUCGAUGGUGAACAUUUUACCUUCUGGAAAAUGCAAAUUAAAGAUUAUCUAUAUAUGAAAGACAUGCAUUUCCCUUUUUUUUUUUUUAUGAGAAAAGCCAACCGAUAUGAAAGAUAAAGAGUGGGCUUUACUCGACAAACAGGCACUUGGAGUUAUCCAAUUAACGUUAUCUUGGAAUGUCGCUUUCAACAUAAUGAAGAAGAAGACCAUGACGGGUCUUAUGGCAGUUCUCUCUGACACGUAUAAGAAGUCAUAUACUUCAAAUAAAGUGCACUUUAUGAGGUUGUUAUUCAAUUUGUGAAUGACAUAAGGUGCAUCUGUAGUAGCUCAUAUCAAUGAAUUUAGUACAAUCACAACACAACUAAGUUUAGUGGAAAUCAAGUUCAAUGAUGAAGUUUGAGCUUUGAUCCUCCUAUCCUCUAUCUAAAAGUUGAAUCGCAAUGGUAACAAUAGUGAUCAAUUCUUUUGCGAGGAAGAAGAUGGUAUUUAAGGAUGUUCAAGGUCUAAUUCUAAGCGAAAAAAAUACACCAAAGAGAACUAGGGGAAACAUUAAGUUCCACCUUAAACAUCAAAUCUAGAGGUAGACACAAUGAUAGAAACUUAAAUCGGAGCAAAUUAAAUUCAAGAUGAAGCAAGUAUAGAUCUAAGAAGAAAGAGAAUAGCUGCUAGAACUGUGGUAAAAUGGUCACUUGAAGAGAGAUUGCAGAGCACCAAAAAAGAACAAUGGCAGUGCAAAGGAAUCCGUGAACGUGGCCGAAGAUACUGGCGAUGCUCUAAUCCUAAGUGUCAAUAGUCUAGUUGAAUCUUGGAUUUUGGAUUAUAGGGCAUCAUAUCACUACACCUCACAUUACGAAAUCAUGGAGAACUACAUCAAUGGUGAUUUUGGGAAGGUUUAUCUGGUUGAUGAUGGGACCAUGAAGAUUAUGAGGAAAGACGAUAUUCAAGUGAAGCGACCAAAUGGGACUGUCUGGAAGUUGAAAGACAUGAGAUUAAUUCCUAGUCUAAAAAGAAAUUUAAUCUCAGUGGAUCGACCUGAUCAAGAAGGUCAUCAUACAACCUUCUUAGGGAGUGAAUGGAAGAUCACCAAGGAAACUAUAGUCAUAACUUAUGAAAAGAAGAAUGGUACUCUCUAUGUUACUUCUAGCAUGGAGAAUAUUGUUGCAAUUGUAGAAUCAUAUGAGAAAUAGAAAAUCUAGCAGUAGAGACUCAAUCAUAUGAGCGAGACAAGGAUGAAGGUUCUUGUUUCAAAGAGGAAGCUGCCAAAUCUAAAAUCAGUAGACAUCGGUCUAUGCAAGGAUUGUAUUUUCGGCAAACAGAAAAUGGUCAAUUUCUCAAAGAUAGGCAAGCCACCCAAAGUAGAGAAGUUAGACCUAGUUCACACAGAUGUGUGGGGGUCAUCACCAAUUUCAUCUAUUGGAGGCUCAUAUUACUACGUCACCUUCAUUGAUGACUUUACUUGGAAAGUAUGGGUUUAUUUUCUGAAAAAGAAAUCAAAAGUUUGUGAUGUUUUCAAGAAAUGGAAAGCCAUGGUAAGAGCAAGACGGGCUUGAAAGUGAAGCAUUUGAAGUUCAACAAUGGAGGAAGGUACGAAGACGAGAAUCUUAAUGAGUUUUGUGUAGCCAAUGGAAUUAAAUUGGAAAAAACUAUUCCAAAGACACCUUAGCAUAAUGGUAUAGUACAACGCAUGAACAAAACUCUCAAUGAACAUGUUAAAAGCAUGAGAAUACAUGCAGGCUUACCUAAGAUGUUUUGGGCUAAAGUUGUUAGCAUAGCGACCUACCUUAUCAACCAUGAGCCUUUAGUGCCUUUUGGAGAAAAGUUACCUAAGGAAGUAUAGAGCGAUAAAGAGGUGAAAUUUUCACUUUAGAGAUUAUUUGGUUGUAUUUCUUUUGUGCAUAUUGACUUAUCUAAAAGGAGCAAGCUCGACACAAAGUCUAAGAAAUGUGCUUUUAUUCGAUAUGGCAUUAAUGAAUUUGGCUACUGAUUUUGGGAUUUUGAAAAUAAAAAAAUCAUCAGAAGCAGGGAUAUCAUCUUCAAUGAGAAAGCAAUGUACAAGGACAAGUCAUUUGUAGAAUCUAUCAACACAAAAGUCAAAACUGAAAAAAAAAAAAAGAGUACAUUAAGUUUGAGGAAAAAUCUAAGAAGGAAAUACAAUCAGGGGAUCAAAAGAAUCCUAUAAAUGAAGUAUCUCAAGAAAAACCACACACUCCUGUAGCAGAAGUGAGACACUUCUUGAGAACUCCUAAAUUGAUAUAAUGUUAUUCACCUUCUUUGCAUUAUUUAUUGUUGACUAACAAUAUAGAACUAGAGUGUUAUGAUGAAGUAAUUUAGGUUAAGGAUUCGGUCAAGUGGGAUUAUGCCAUAAAAUAUGAGAUGGACUCCCUGAUGUCAAAUAAGACAUAGGAUUUGAUUGAACUACCAAAAGGAAAGAAAGCUUUACGUAACAAAUGAGUUUUCAAGAUCAAAGAAGAGCAUGAUGGAAGCAAGCGUUACAAAACUAGGAUGGUAGUUAAAGGAUUUCAAUAGAAAGCAAGAAUCGAUUAUGCUGAGAUUUUCUCUCCAAUAAUGAAGUUGAUGACAAUCAGAUUGGUGCUAAAGAUGGUAGCUGUAGAAAAUUUGCAUAUUGAGCAGUUAGAUGUGAAGACAAUGUUCCUUCAUGGUGAUUUAGAGGAAGAGAUUUAUAUAAUGCAACCAAAAGGCUUCAUGAUCGUAAGCAAAAAAAGCUUUAAGUGCAAGCUGAAGAAGAUUCUAUACGGUCUGAAACAGGCUCCAAGAUAGUGGUACAAAAAGUUCAAUAGCUUCAUGAGUAGCAACGGUUUUACAAGAUGUCAAGUAGAUCAUUGUUGUCAUAUAAAAAAGUUUGACGACAACUUUAUUAUUUUACUUUUGUAUGUAGAUGAUAUGCUCAUUGCAGGUUCUGAUAUGCAAGAGAUAAAUAACUUAAAAAGAAAAUUAUUGAGGCGGUUUGCAAUGAAAGAUGUAGGUGCUACAAACUAGAUUCUUGGAAUUAAUGAGGAUUAGCAGGGACAAAGUAGCAAAGACUUUGAUGUUGUAACAAGUAGAGUACAUCAACAAAGUACUCUCUAGGUUCAACAUGUAGAAUGCUAAAUCAGUGAGCCUGUCUUUAGGUGCCUAUUUCAAAAUUUCCAAAGAGCAAUCACCAAAAAUAGAGGAAGAACGUGAUCACAUCAAAAAAGUUCCUUAUGCUUCAACCAUUGGAAGUUUGAUAUAUGUUAUGGUUUGUAUGAGACUAGAUAUUGUGCAAGUAGUAGGAGUGGUGAGCAGGUACAUGAACAAUUAUGGUAAGAUGCACUAGGAAGCGGUUAAAUGGAUCCUUAGAUAUUUUCAAAAUACCUAAAAAAUGUCACUCUAUUUAAGAAGUGGGGAUAUGAAAUUGGAAGGCUUUGUUGAUAGUGACCUAGGUGCCGGAGAUGUCGAAAACAGAAAGAGCACUAAAAGAUAUGUGUAUACUCUUAAAUGAACUAUAAUGAGUUGGGUUUCUCAAGAAAGUUGCAACUCUCUCCACUACCGAAGCAGAAUAUAUUGUUACUACGAAAGCCAAUAAGGAGAUGAUUUUCUCUUCAAGGUUUCUUGGAAGAGCUAGGAGAAAAAUAGGAGAACAAUGUCUUUUAUUCAAAUAAUCAGAGUGUGUUUCACUUGUGAAGAACCAUCCUUCCAUGCCAGAAUGAAGCAUAUUCAAACAAAGUAUCAUUUCAUUUGAUCUCUUUUGGAGGAAAAAGUUCUUAGACUUGAGAAGAUUGAUGGAAAUGAAAUCCCAGAUAUAUGCUAACAAAGACGGUGACAAUUCACAAACUAAAGUUAUGUUCGAUUUCAAUUGGCCUACAAACAUAGAAGAAGAAAGAUGAGUUGUUGCAUUGAUCUUGUGUGAAGACAUAAAGUAAGUACUCUUCAAGUGAGAGAACCACGUAAAGUUUGAGUGAACCAUGUAAAUUUUCAUAUGUUAUUUUUUCUACUCUAUUUUGUUAUUAUUUCCACAUUUUUUUAUUCGCUUCAUUAAUUUGGUCUUUUGGAAGGUUUAUUUCCUAACAUUUUUCAACUCAAUUUCUUAUCUAAAAUUGAAAUGGGAAUUGGUUUCAUCCUCAAUUCAAAUAGAUUUUUGGAACACUUCACCAUUCCCCUUCCACACUUUCCACCAUCCAAACAAUAAAUAUAAUUACUUAACUCAAUUACAUAUUUUUGCUUAUUUUCAUUUACAUUCAAAACUUGUUAGAAAGGAACCUUGAGUUUAGGAAGUUCCCAAUUAUUAGGAUUUGAUUUUGUUUUAUAAAAGUAAAUUAGAAUAUUUACAAAUUUGAGUGGUUGAUUUAAUUAUAUGUUUAUACAUAAGUCCUGCAAGUUAUUUUUUAUACUUUUUGUUAUUAAGAGUCUAUUUGUUAGAUAAAGGUGUCCAUAAAAAAAAAAAAAAAAAAAAAAGGAGUUAGUAUGAUAGUUGAACAAGAAUGGUGGAAAGUAAUGUCAUUUUCUUGAUUUUUCUCCAUUACUUAUUUCUCUCUAUGGAUUUGUUUAUGUGUUCUCAACUUUAUUCCUUGAACAAAUUAGGUCGUGAGAAAAAAAUGACAAGUAGGAUAUAUUUGUUAUAAGUCUUUUAGCUCAAUAAAAAUAAUUACAAUAAUUGGAGUAUGAAGAUAAAGACUUUACUUGAUUCACAAGAUGUAUGAAAGGUUGUAGAUGAAGGCUAUAAACAAAGAGCCUUGACAUAAAACCACUAUUCUAAAAUCAAAGUAAUUUUUUGAAAGGUAUAUGGAAAACAAAAAAAAAAAAAAAUGCCAAAAGGGAGGGAAGAAGAAAGCUCUUACCCUUAUCUAUCAAGCAAUAGAUAAAGGCAUGUUUGGAAAUUUUCCAAAUGCAACCAUGCACUACCAAGAAAGCAUGGACGAUAUUAGAAAAUGCACAUAAAGAAAUUGAUUAAUUAAGAAAAGUAUGUCUUUGUACCCUUAGAGGAGAAUUUAAAAGUUUGACCAUAAAAGAAGUAGAAUCAAUCUCCCAUUAAUUUUUCAAGAGUUAUAGUGAUCAGCCAUGAAUCAACUAAAAUGAAACAAUUAAAAUUUUAAAUCAUACUUGUGUGACUGAACAAAUAAUUCAGUCUAUUAGAUUCAAAGUUUGGUUGUUGUGCUCAUUAGAUAGUAAAAUGAUUUUCAUUGUAGCAUGAAGACAGAUUAAAAAAGAACCAAGAAAAAGUUCUUCAAACAAAACUUAAAUGACAAGAAACUGAAGAAAAUCUUAAUAAUAAAAGAAGUCAAAACGAUCGUGGAGUGGUUAUGACCAAGUAAACAUAGAAAGAUGUGGUUUUAUUUCAUCAAAUAAUCAAGAACACUAAUGUCAAAACCCAUAUUUUUUAAGAAGAUGUGAAAGAGAGCACAACUAAAGACAAAAUGAAAGGAGAAGUUAUGAGAAAUCUCAAGUUCAACCUUAUAACUAUAAAAAAUUUGGUCAUUAUGUGUAUGAAAUAAAAAGUACUACUAGCAAUAUGGAAAGAAAAGCCAAUCAUGUUAAAACAAAUAGGUAAAGAAAAACCUAGCCACUUUAUUUUUGGCAUAUAAAACACAAAGUAAUAAGGAGAAAAAUACAUGGUAUUCACUCGAUGGUGAAAACAGCCAUAUAUGUAGCUUCAAAAGUAUUUUCUUUGAAAUUGAUCAAUAUUCAAACACUAAUAAUGUUACUUUUGAAUCUAUUCAAAAUUCUCAAAAAAGGCAAAGGUAAAAUCUUAAUUUGUUCAAAAAAUGGAAGAUAUUAAUUUAUUUCAAAUAUCUAUUAUGUGCAGAUUAUGAAAAACAAUUAAUUAAGUUUGGAUUAACUUUUAAAAAAGAUAUAAUAUUCAUAAGAAAAAUCAAGUUCUCUCAAUAAGAUAUCAAUAUGUUGACUUCCUUGCAAAUGUAGUCAUGACAAGAAAUAUAAUGUUUCUGUAAUUAAAAUUGCUAAAAUUUUGUGUCAAUGUUCCCAUCUAGAUUUUCCACUUAAGAUAUCAACAUCUUAAUUUAGGAGGAUUGAAAUUGUUGAUCAAGAAAAAAAUGGUAUAAGGAUUGCCCUCUACAAAUCAUUUGGAUCAAUUAUAUAUGUGAAGGAUGCUUACUUGGAAAAUAUUCCUAUGAAAGUUUUCCAAAAGUUGGAAUUCAAGGUUUGGUAACUCCUUGAGGUUGUAAUGAUUUGCAGAUCCAGAGUUAUAGAAGAAAUUAAGAAAAUUUGGGAGAAAAAUGCAAAAUGUAUGAAGAAUAAAUUAUAUCUUCUCUCUCUCUAAUACAAUUGGAACUUAUCACAUUAUAUGGUACAAUGCAGGUUUUAAAUGGCAUGUAUGCCUAGACAUUGUUUUUACUUGGAACCAUUAAAAUAUAGUAUUACUAAUAGCAUUGUAAUAAAAUGGCAGAAGAUAGAUAUCAAUACAAGUCUAAUUAAGAAAGUUUCUCAAAGGCCACCUUCACAAUUACUUGUAAGCAGCUAAUAAGAUUUCCUCUAUAAUUAGGAAAAAUCUUCAUAUCAACUAUUCUUUGCACUUUAAUCUUUUUACUUAGUCAUUGAGAGGUUGUGAUCAGCCUUAAAAAAACUCGUCAAAAAAGGAUUUAGAGCAUAAAAUUUGAGACAGUUAAGGCCACUAAUAAGAGGGAAGUUGACCCAAACAUCACAACCUAUUUGAAACUAUAAAACUUAAUUAGAUAGUAAUUGUUUAAAUGUUUUAUUGGUGUUGAGAUUCUCCAAUUACACUAUAAAAUGGUUUGAGAAGAAUGAGGUUUCACUAUUGUUAAUUGCUUACAAGUUUUACCAAACAAAGGAGAAGAGAGAGACAAGGAAAAGAUGGACCUAAAAUUGAAUAUCACAGCAACCUCUCUUCUGCUAUUGCUAGCAUCUGCUGC